UACAUAUGAUGCAAGCGUUAUCCGGAAUGAUUGGGCGUAAAGCGUCUGUAGGUGGUUUAAAAAGUCAACUGUCAAAAACUAAGGCUUAACCUUAGGCAGGCAGUCGAAACUUUUAGACUAGAGUAUGGCAGAGGUAGAGGGAAUUACUGGUGUAACGGUGAAAUGUGCAGAUAUCAGUAAGAACACCUAUGGCGAAAGCACUCUACUGGACCAAAACUGACACUCAGAGACGAAAGCUAAGGGAGCGAAUAGG
rnacentral:rRNA from 1 species